UACGUAGGGUGCAAGCGUUGUCCGGAAUUAUUGGGCGUAAAGAGCUCGUAGGCGGUUUGUCGCGUCUGCUGUGAAAAUCCAGGGCUUAACCCUGGACCUGCAGUGGGUACGGGCAGACUGGAGUGCGGUAGGGGAGAUCGGAAUUCCUGGUGUAGCGGUGAAAUGCGCAGAUAUCAGGAGGAACACCAAUAGCGAAGGCAGCUCGCUGGGACGGUAUUGACGCUGAGGCGCGAAAGCGUGGGGAGCAAACAGG
rnacentral:rRNA from 1 species